CUAAUUUUUGUAUUUUUACUAGAGAUGGAGUUUCACCAUAUAUUGGCCAGGCUGGUCUCAAACUCCUGACCUCAAGUGAUCCACCCACCUCGGCCUCCCAAAGUUCUGGGAUUACUGGCAUGAGCCACCGCGCCCAGCCCUGAUUGGACAGUUUCUGAGGGACUUGUGGCACCAUGAAGAGAGGAAGGAGAUGACAUCACCCAUGGAAGGACAUAUAUACCCUGUCCAGUCUUCUUGUUGGCAAAAACACAGUAAGCCAAGUUGACACCUCCCUGAUAAUUCCAGAAGUCCUCUGGACCACUCAGAUUGCCUAAGACCUCCCCGUCUAGAAGAAGAAAUGACAUCCACCCCAAAAAGUAUGUGCCCUGAAAAACAUACCUUCUGAAGUUUCUGUCAACACUACUGGAGACAGAGGUCGGUGGAGCCCGAGUAAAUGUCCAGGUAAGCUGCAUGAAGGGUGGGAGAGUGGCAUGGGCCAUCAGAGCUUAAUUGUACAUUGCUUGGGCAGCCGUGGUUAGAUCUUGAACACCUUGCUCCCAUUCUGUGCUCUAAUCUCUCCACUUGGGCCAUGAGGUAACAGCCAUGCUGGGGGUCAAUGCAGUGGGGAUGUUUCCAUGGUGAUGCCAGAACAGCCCAUGCCACAGCCUGCUGACCUUAUCCUUUGACCUGCCCAGAAGUCCAGAGAUGCUGUGAACGCUUACU
rnacentral:lncRNA from 1 species